GGGCCGGUAGUCUAGCGGCUAUGACGCCGCCUUUACACGGCGGAGGACACAGGUUCAAAUCCUGUCCGGCCCA
rnacentral:tRNA from 1 species